AGCAUUUCACCUGUCUGUGUCUGUGUGUGCAAUUAGACCAAACUACUCCAGUCCACACUACUCCAGUCCACACUACUCCACUCCACACUACUCCAGUACACACUACUCCACUCCACACUACUCCAGUACACACAGUCCAGUCUACUCCACUCCACACUACUCCAGUCCACACUACUCCAGUCCACUCUACUCCAGUCCACACUACUCCACUACUCCACUACACACUACUCCAGUCCACACUACUCCAGUCCACACUACUUCACUUCACACUACUCCAGUCCACACUACUCCAGUCCUCACUACUCCAGUCCACACUACUCCAGUCCUCACUACUCCAGUACUCCAGUCCACACUACUCCACUACACACUACUCCAGUCCACACUACUCCAGUCCACACUACUCCAGUCCUCACUACUCCAGUACUCCAGUCCACACUACUCCAGUCCACACUACUCCAGUCCACACUACUCCAGUACUCCACUACACACUACUCCACUCCACACUACUCCAGUCCACACUACUCCAGUACUCCACUACACACUACUCCAGUCCACACUACUCCAGUCCACACCACUCCAGUCCACACUACUCCAGUCCACACUACUCCACUACUCCAGUACACACUACUCCAGUACACACUACUCCAGUCCUCCAGUCCACACUACUCCAGUCCACACUACUCCAGUACUCCACUACACACUACUCCAGUCCACACUACUCCAGUACUCCACUACACACUACUCCAGUCCACACUACUCCAGUACACACUACUCCACUCCACACUACUCCAGUCCUCCAGUCCACACUACUCCAGUCCACACUACUCCAGUACUCUACUCCACUACACACUACUCCACUACACACUACUCCAGUCCACACUACUCCAGUCCACACUACUCCAGUACUCCAGUCCACACUACUCCAGUCCACACUACUCCAGUCCACACUACUCCAGUACUCCACUACACACUACUCCACUCCACACUACUCCAGUCCACACUACUCCAGUACUCCACUACACACUACUCCAGUCCACACUACUCCAGUCCACACUACUCCAGUACUCCACUACACACUACUCCAGUCCACACCACUCCAGUCCACACUACUCCAGUCCACACUACUCCACUACUCCAGUCCACACUACUCCAGUCCACACUACUCCAGUCCACACUACUCCAGUACUCCACUACACACUACUCCAGUCCACACUACUCCAGUCCACACUACUCCAGUACUCCAGUCCACACUACUCCAGUCCACACUACUCCAGUCCACACUACUCCACUACUCCAGUACACACUACUCCAGUCCACACUACUCCACUCCACACUACUCCAGUCCACACUACUCCACUACUCCAGUACUCCACUACACACUACUCCAGUCCACACUACUCCACUACUCCAGUACACACUACUCCAGUACACACUACUCCAGUCCACACUACUCCACUACUCCAGUCCACACUACUCCAGUCCACACUACUCCACUACUCCAGUCCACACUACUCCACUACUCCAGUCCACACUACUCCAGUUCACACUACUCCAGUACUCCAGUCCACACUACUCCACUACUCCAGUCCACACUACUCCAGUUCACACUACUCCAGUCCUCCAGUCCACUCUACUCCAGUCCACACUACUCCAGUCCACACUACUCCACUACUCCAGUCCACACUACUCCAGUUCACACUACUCCAGUACUCCAGUCCACACUACUCCACUACUCCAGUCCACACUACUACAGUUCACACUACUCCACUACUCCAGUCCACACUACUCCAGUCCUCCAGUCCACACUACUCCAGUCCACACUACUCCAGUCCACACUACUCCAGUCCUCCAGUCCACACUACUCCAGUACACACUACUCCAGUACUCCAGUCCACACUACUCCAGUCCACACUACUCCAGUCCUCCAGUCCACACUACUCCAGUCCACACUACUCCACUACACACUACUCAACUCCACACUACUCCAGUCCACACUACUCCACUACUCCAGUCCACACUACUCCAGUCCAAUCCACACUACUCCAGUCCACACUACUCCAGUCCACACUACUCCAGUACACACUACUCCACUACACACUACUCCAGUCCACACUACUCCAGUACACACUACUCAGUCCACACUACUCCAGUCCACACUACUCCAGUCCACUCUACUCCAGUCCACACUACUCCAGUCCACACUACUCCAGUACUCCAGUCCACACUACUCCAGUACUCCAGUCCACACUACUCCAGUCCUCACUCAUUCCUCAGUGACAGCUGCUGUAUAAAGGAGGAGAAAGAGAUCUAGGAAGAGUAGAGGUGCGGUAUCACAGGUCAAUAGCAC
ensembl:lncRNA